UUCGCCACUAUUACCAACUUAGGGUAAUUUACCCUAUAUUUAGAGUAAAAAUAAUCGAGAAGGGUAAUUUUAAGGAUUCUAGGGUAAAUUGAGACCAGGCCCGGGGUAAAGUGAAAACUUCACCUGGCAACACUG